GGAGGAGGCACAGCUGUUGCUGGUGGAGACCAGCACAUUUGGCAAUGGAGACUGCCCCAGCAAUGGAGAGAAACUGAGGAAAUCCCUCUUCAUGCUGAAAGAGCUCACCAACAAAUUCAGGCAGCCUGUGAAACGUUUGAUGUCCGAAGCCAACAGCACAUUCAGAUCCUCAAGCUCUACACCUCCAAUGUGACCUGGGGCUUGCACCACUUCAGGCUCGUGCAGGACUCACAGCCUUUGGACCUCAGCUAAGGGACCUGCUUCUCUGUAGCACAUGGGGCUUGUUUGUGUUGGGGUCUGAGCCCUGAGCUCAUGGUCAAGGAGAACCCCAGGUCCUUCUGAACAGAGACAGCUGGCCUCGGGGCCUCCCUCUCACUGCAUGCAAGAGCCUGUUAGGGCACAAGACUCAAGGCGCUGAGGGAGGCUGUUUCAGGAGGAAGCCGCAGAAGGAUGGUGGAGAGAGAAAGGGACAGCAUCCGCCGAGGGCCUACUGUGUGCCAGGCACUGUCCAGGGCUCCUGGCCCACAUGGGCUAAGUGAGCCUGGACACUCCUCCUGGGAGAAAGGCACAGAUGGAGAAAUUGCAGUUCAGGGAGGUGAAGCAAGCUGCUAGCCUGUGGCCACUUUGGGAUCUGAGCGCCAGCCUUCUAGCCACAAAGGCAGCCAAGGGUCAUGAAGAAGGCAUCACAGAGGCGAUUCCAGGCUGUAGUGGUGAACUCUCCACUCUGCACCCCCAGGUGCUGUGCCCUGUGCCCUGAUUAGAUAGUCCUGAAGGUUUCUACAUGUUUAAGAUAUCCCUAAUGUCAACGAUGCUCUCCUGUGGAUCCCAAGCUGUGGAGAUGUCCUGGGACUUUCCAUUUCAGGUUCCUAAAUUGAAUUUCCCAACACCUAGAAGCAACCCAGCUGCCCUGUAUCAGACCAAGGACCUUUAUUUGUGAUUCAGAAACAGUGGAAUAAAAGGAAAGGAAAGAAAACCCCAACAGCCACCUCAGCAGGAUGCCCCAAGGCCCUCAGCAGCAUGCACGCCAAUAACAUGUUCACCACGAGGCUCAAAUCUUGGCAGAAGCUACAGAGUCCAACAUCCAGGUAAGGGAAAGUGCAGGGCUUCUCGGGUGAUGCUCUACUGAUUUUAUUUUAACGAAUGAAAGACCAGAAGUCAGUCUUUG
rnacentral:lncRNA from 1 species